CACACCUCUACAUCAAAGGCACCAGCAUCUCCUUCCCCGUGGCUUCAUCUGUGAAGAACUUCACAUUUUAUCACCAAUCUCCAUGACCAGGCAUGCCUUGGAUCUCACCUUCAGACUGUUUUAGAAACAAAAGGGGCACUAGUCACUUGACUGUUCAGCCACUCUUAUUUCUGAAUGGACCUUCACAUUUCCCAGACAAAUACUGGAAACGUUUCACCAACAGAUCAAGGCCCUGCUGGGGGGUGAUUCCAAGAGAAUAAGCAAAAUCCAGAACAUCUCCAGUGUCCACAAUUUGCAAGUAACAGAUUAUGACUGCAAAGCAUCUAUCAGCAUCAGUAGAGGAGAAGGAAAAAAAAUACCAAUUAUGAUGGAAGCUGUUUCCCUUCAAGGUAAGACAGCCAGUAUUAUGGCUCAGUUCAAGAAUCCUUACAGGAGAAAAAUAUGUACACUAAUAAGAAUAAAAAUAUACAAAUCCUGCCAGCACACAGCUGAGCCUGACCUCAGUCACAUACCUUAUGCCUAG
rnacentral:lncRNA from 1 species